GGGUUAGCUGGUCUGAGGGGAUGGUCAGCCACACUGGGACUGAGACACUGCCCAGACUCCUACGGGAGGCUGCAGUCGAGGAUCAUAGUCAAUGCGCGAAAGCGUGAACUUGCGACGCUGCGUGGAGGAUGACGGCCUUCGGGUUGUAAACUCCUGUCAUUUGGGAACAAUUAUCUCACGGUGAAUAGCCGUGAGACUUGAUGGUACCAAAAGAGGAAGCCACGGCUAACUCUGUGCCAGCAGCCGCGGUAAUACAGAGGUGGCGAGCGUUGUUCGGAUUUACUGGGCGUAAAGCGUGCGUAGGUGGUCUCGUGUGUCGGAUGUGAAAGCCCAUGGCUCAACUGUGGAAUUGCAUUCGAAACUGCGGAACUAGAGUGCAGGAGGGGAGAGCGGAAUUCUUGGUGUAGCGGUGAAAUGCGUCGAUAUCAAGAAGAACACCGGUGGCGAAGGCGGCUCUCUGGAAUGUUACUGACACUGAGGCACGAAAGCUGGGGGAGCGAACAGGGUUAGAUACCCUGGUAGUCCCAGCCGUAAACGGUGCGCACUUGGUGUAGGGGGUAUUGACCCCCCCUGUGCCGGAGCUAACGCGUUAAGUGCGCCGCCUGGGGAGUACGGCCGCAAGUCUAAAACUCAAAGAAAUUGACGGGGGCCCGCACAAGCGGAGGAGCAUGUGGCUUAAUUCGAUGCAACGCGAAGAACCUUACCAGGGCUUGACAUGCAGCUGCACGGCCGGUGAAAGUCGGUCUCCUUCGAGGGUGCUGCACAGGUGCUGCAUGGCUGUCGUCAGUUCGUGCCGUGAGGUGUUGGGUUAAGUCCCGCAACGAACGCAACCCUUGUGUUUAGUUGCCACCGGCGGUGAUGAGCCGCCGAGCACUCUAGACAGACUGCCCGUACAAGCGGGAGGAAGGUGGGGACGACGUCAAGUCAGUAUGGCCCUUACGCCCUGGGCUGCACACGUGCUACAAUGGCAGGUACAGAGGGACGCAAUGCCGCGAGGUGGAGCAAAUCCCCAAAACCGGCCCCAGUUCGGAUUGGAGUCUGCAACUCGACUCCAUGAAGUUGGAUUCGCUAGUAACGGCGUAUCAGCUACGGCGCCGUGAAUACGUUCCCGGGCCUUGUACACACCGCCCGUCACAUCAUGAAAGCCGCCUGCACCCGAAGUCGCUGAGCCAACUUUUCACGAAGAGGCAGGUGCCGAAGGUGUGGGUGGUGAUUG
rnacentral:rRNA from 1 species